CGGCCUUUGGUUUUCGGCAGGGGAGAAGGAGGAACAGAAGCAACAGCAGAUGGAGGAGGAGGAGGGGAGAGCUUGCUAGAUAGACGGAGUUUGGUGGAGAGAAUGUCAGGAUUGGUGGUGGAGCAGGUGCUGCUGCUCCUGCUGGUACCUAGUGGAGGUGGGGAAGGGACAUGAGAAGGAUUGAGAAAGGAUUUGAGUGGGUUGUUGGGGUUUUUAUGAGUAGGGUUAGGAGUAAUAGUGGAAGGAGUGUUGGUAGAAUUGAGGGACUUGGGACGGCGGAGGGAGGAUGAGUUGUCGCACUCCGAUGGUGGUGGUGGUGGUGGUGGUGGUGGGUUGAGAGAAAAAGAGAUGGACGUGGUGGCGAUGGAGUGGCGUUUUCUAUUAGUGGAGGAGAGAGCGGGGUAGGCAAAGAUGCGUGGGGUGGCGGAGAGCGAAAAAAUAUCCAUUAUUAUCCGUUGAAAAUUGCAAAGAGAAACUGAAGAGGAGCAGCAUGAUCGACCUUUGUUUUCUGCAAAGCCA
rnacentral:misc_RNA from 1 species